UACGUAGGGGGCUAGCGUUGUCCGGAUUUAUUGGGCGUAAAGAGCGUGUAGGCGGCCUAGUAGGUCAGCUGUGAAAACUCGAGGCUCAACCUCGAGCUGUCGGUUGAAACCACUAGGCUAGAGUCCGGAAGAGGAGAAUGGAAUUCCCGGUGUAGCGGUGAAAUGCGCAGAUAUCGGGAAGAACACCCGUGGCGAAAGCGGCUCUCUGGGACGGUACUGACGCUGAGACGCGAAAGCGUGGGGAGCAAACAGG
rnacentral:rRNA from 1 species